AACGAACGCUGGCGGCAGGCUUAACACAUGCAAGUCGAGCGCCCCGCAAGGGGAGCGGCAGACGGGUGAGUAACACGUGGGGAUCUGCCCGAUGGUACGGAAUAACUCAGGGAAACUUGUGCUAAUACCGUAUGUGCCCGCAAGGGGAAAGAUUUAUCGCCAUCGGAUGAACCCGCGUCGGAUUAGCUAGUUGGUGUGGUAAAGGCGCACCAAGGCGACGAUCCGUAGCUGGUCUGAGAGGAUGAUCAGCCACACUGGGACUGAGACACGGCCCAGACUCCUACGGGAGGCAGCAGUGGGGAAUAUUGGACAAUGGGCGCAAGCCUGAUCCAGCCAUGCCGCGUGAGUGAUGAAGGCCCUAGGGUUGUAAACCUCUUUCAACGGUGAAGAUAAUGACGGUAACCGUAGAAGAAGCCCCGGCUAACUUCGUGCCAGCAGCCGCCGUAAAAC
rnacentral:rRNA from 1 species